UACGUAGGGUGCGAGCGUUAAUCGGAAUUGCUGGGCGUAAAGCGUGCGCAGGCGGUUGUGCAAGACGGAUGUGAAAUCCCCGGGCUUAACCUGGGAACUGCAUUUGUGACUGCACGGCUGGAGUGCGGCAGAGGGGAAUGGAAUUCCGCGUGUAGCAGUGAAAUGCGUAGAUAUGCGGAGGAACACCGAUGGCGAAGGCAAUUCCCUGGGCCUGCACUGACGCUCAUGCACGAAAGCGUGGGGAGCAAACAGG
rnacentral:rRNA from 1 species